rnacentral:rRNA from 1 species
UACGUAGGGUGCAAGCGUUGUCCGGAAUUAUUGGGCGUAAAGAGCUCGUAGGUGGCCUGUCGCGUCGGGCUGUGAAAACUCGGGGCUCAACUCCGAGCUUGCAGUCGAUACGGGCAGGCUAGAGUUCGGCAGGGGAGACUGGAAUUCCUGGUGUAGCGGUGAAAUGCGCAGAUAUCAGGAGGAACACCGGUGGCGAAGGCGGGUCUCUGGGCCGAUACUGACACUGAGGAGCGAAAGCGUGGGGAGCGAACAGG